rnacentral:lncRNA from 1 species
AAAGUCUUUUUCCAAGACCUCACAGAUAGCUUCUUUUCAUCCUCUUUAAAUAAAGCCGGGCGACCUGCGACCCAGUCUUCUCUCGCUCUCGCAAGAACAAAAGGGUCUUGAGGUAUCCUGCCUAGAAAUUUUCUUGUGCUUUAAUUGGUUGCCAGGAUUCUGGAAACUUCUAUCAGAAUCUUCUGAUUUUUUGAGUACAUCCAGAUUAUUGUACCAGGGUUGCGUUAUAUUAUUAGAUAAACCCUAGAUGUGUAGAUAUUGAAACAGACCAAUUCUAGAAUAGUUGCACUAUAAGUCCAUGGAUAACUUAAAAGUUUUUCUUUUAUGACUUUGAAAUAUUGUGAUUUUGUUUAGUUUUAAAGGAUAUUAAGAUGGCAUUGGAGAAAUUUGGUGGCAACAUUAUUUUCUCAAAUGGACUCUUGGAUCCUUGGAGUGGUGGGAGGUAAUGUACUACAUCGGUUACAUUGUUUUGAUAGCUAAAUUGGUCUCUUUUUUUUUGCCUUGUAUGAGUUCAAUGGUAUCUCUGUUACAUGUUACAGUGUGCUACGGAGCGUAUUUGGGAGUCUAAUUGUACCUAACACUGAACUAGAUACUUCAUUCAAAAUUUGCUGAUGUUUAAUUCUCUAGGCAAAAUUGUGUUGUUAAUAUAGAUCUAAUGUUGUUCCUCAGGGAGCACAUCGUAUUGAAUUGCAUUCUGAAGUAGGAUCCUGAUCGGUAAAGCAGAGGAAAUCAGAAAUUAGUCUGAUGAGUACCUAAAAUCUAUCUAGUGCAUAGCCGAUGCAGGACUAAACAUGGUAAUAACCUAGAACCUCACAUAAAAAAGCUAUCCGAAAGAUAUUAUUUGGGAUCAUUGGCCUUGUAUAAGUAUCCAAAAUCUAUCUAAUACAUAGCCAAUAUGGAAUUAAACAUAUACUCACAAGGGUCCUCACAUACUCCUCUAGUUUAACCUUUGGCAUCAUCACCAAAUUGUAGAUUUUAAUCUAUUCAAAUCCAAUCACAAGCACCAUAAUUCAGGUAACAUCAUCCAUGCCUUGCACAAAAAAAUUACAAGUGCUAACUCAAUCUAUAUGGGAUCGCCCUCAUGGAUCCUGUCGACAUUGAUUGAAAAAAUGCUGGUAUCCUCCAAAAUGCUAAGCAUUUUGAAGCGGAAGUCUUUAUUUUGUCCAAAUAACUCUUCGGCUCAUAUCUGCAUGAUCAAUUUGGCACCAUCAUUCGUUGAGGCAAUGACAUGAGGAAUGAAUGCUCAAGUGACUUAGAUCAUGUGACUUAGAUAAUGCUGCUAAUCCAUGAAACUCAGGUUAUCCUUCAUGCUCUGGGGAUUACCUCUUCUAUCUGCAAUUGAUUUGGUGAUGGCGAAGUCGCCCUCUAACAGCCAAGGCUCUUGAUUUUUUCUUCGAAUAUCAAAAAGCUCAAGAGUGAAUCUCUCAAAGUUGUGUCUGUUGGGCCAUAAACUGAGAGUUGAUAAGGUUCUUUCCCAAAGCUUGACACCAAUGGGAGACAGUGAGAGAGGAGGUCUUCUCCAUAGUAUUUCCGAGGAAAAAAAUGAUUAGAGUUCCAGCCGAUUAAUAUACCCCCUGCUAAACCAUUCGAAUCAAUGUGUGGCCACUCAUCUAUUUUGGAUCCACCAUGGAUUUGAGGAACAGAGGAGCUGGAGAUGCAACCUUUGUUUCUGGGAGCUUGAUUAUGUCACAAGAGGAGGAUAGGAUUAGGUCUCUAAUCGCUCUCCUUUUAGCCGCGGCACCAGAGUUCCAAGACACUAUCAAUAUGUAUGCACAGCAAGACACACCGACUGGGGACCAAAAACCAAUCACCAAAUCUAUUAAAGCAGUUAAACCUCCACGCAUCAAGACAAUCCAUGCGAUGAAAAUGAGAAGAGGAAGCAGCACCCAUGAACUGAGAAAACUUAGAACAUGGGAAUAACACUCUUAAAAUCCUAAGCAGAGAGUCUGUCCUCACCCCAGAUUUCAUCAAAACAAGCAUACAGAGUACCAAUCUAAUCCAAGGCUUAGAAGACAGAAAGUAAAGACUCGGACCAAAGAACCAGUAGAAGAGCAAACCGGUGCUAAGCUGAUAAAUAAGAGAGGUGGAAAGGAAAACUCUGCCACUGAACAAACAGUAGGUGAUGAACUCCUUUUUUUGCACCCGAUCUCUAACUCCACCUAGGCACCUACUCUGUAACUCACCAAUCAAUUGAUCUCAAUAGAUGCUUUCUCCUUCUUGAGGUCAAGAAGAAGGUCCACCAUAUUGCUCUCCAUGUCUAUGGAGAAGGAAAAACCACUUGUCCUCCCCCAUUCCCCAAGAAGUUGAGGUGGAACUGAGCUGAGUGAACGAGAAGGAUCCAAGUUCUCUG